CACAUCACCUCAGAAGAAUAAUUGCUGCUAUCGCUAGAAACCUCAGACGACUUGGGUUUGAUUUCACCAGGUUUCCUACAGAGGAGCACCGAGUCAGGAGCACCCGGAGGAAGACAGGUUAAACAAAGUCUGUUUAAACCCACACGUCCCACUCUUUACUCGGUAGCGGAGACGGAUUGUCCAGAACCCAAAUGGUCCAGGUCAGGAUGAUAUUUGAUGACUAUUCCCUCGUUUCCUCAGUU